UACAGAGGGUGCAAACGUUGCUCGGAAUCACUGGGCGUAAAGGGCGUGUAGGCGGGGAGGCAAGUCAGAUGUGAAAUCCCUGGGCUCAACCCAGGAACUGCAUUUGAAACUCCCUUUCUUGAGUGUCGGAGAGGAAAGUGGAAUUCCUGGUGUAGAGGUGAAAUUCGUAGAUAUCAGGAGGAACACCGGUGGCGAAGGCGGCUUUCUGGACGACAACUGACGCUGAGACGCGAAAGCGUGGGGAGCAAACAGG
rnacentral:rRNA from 1 species